CACGUAGGAGGCAAGCGUUAUCCGGAUUUACUGGGCGUAAAGCGCGUGCAGGCGGUUCGGUAAGUUGGAUGUGAAAGCUCCUGGCUCAACUGGGAGAGGUCGUUCAAUACUACCGGACUUGAGAGCAGUAGAGGGAGGUGGAAUUCCCGGUGUAGUAGUGAAAUGCGUAGAUAUCGGGAGGAACACCAGUGGCGAAAGCGGCCUCCUGGACUGUUUCUGACGCUCAGACGCGAAAGCUAGGGGAGCGAACGGGAUUAGAUACCCCGGUAGUCC
rnacentral:rRNA from 1 species